GCAGGUAUAGCUUAAUGGUAAAGCGUCAUAUUCAAAUUCUGGUAAAUAUACAAAUGAAGAUUCCUGGUUCAAGUCCAGGUACACUGCC
rnacentral:tRNA from 2 species